rnacentral:rRNA from 1 species
AUUGAACGCUGGCGGCAGGCCUAACACAUGCAAGUCGAGCGGCAGCACGGGUACUUGUACCUGGUGGCGAGCGGCGGACGGGUGAGUAAUGCCUAGGAAUCUGCCUGGUAGUGGGGGAUAACGCUCGGAAACGGACGCUAAUACCGCAUACGUCCUACGGGAGAAAGCAGGGGACCUUCGGGCCUUGCGCUAUCAGAUGAGCCUAGGUCGGAUUAGCUAGUUGGUGAGGUAAUGGCUCACCAAGGCGACGAUCCGUAACUGGUCUGAGAGGAUGAUCAGUCACACUGGAACUGAGACACGGUCCAGACUCCUACGGGAGGCAGCAGUGGGGAAUAUUGGACAAUGGGCGAAAGCCUGAUCCAGCCAUGCCGCGUGUGUGAAGAAGGUCUUCGGAUUGUAAAGCACUUUAAGUUGGGAGGAAGGGCAGUUACCUAAUACGUAUCUGUUUUGACGUACCG